UGAGGAAUAUUGGACAAUGGGUGCAAGCCUGAUCCAGCCAUCCCGCGUGUAGGAAGACGGCCCUAUGGGUUGUAAACUACUUUUAUCUGGGGAUAAACCUACUUACGUGUAAGUAGCUGAAGGUACCAGAUGAAUAAGCACCGGCUAACUCCGUGCCAGCAGCCGCGGUAAUACGGAGGGUGCAAGCGUUAUCCGGAUUUAUUGGGUUUAAAGGGUCCGUAGGCGGGCUGAUAAGUCAGUGGUGAAAUCCGACAGCUUAACUGUCGAACUGCCAUUGAUACUGUCAGCCUUGAGUAAGGUUGAAGUGGCUGGAAUAAGUAGUGUAGCGGUGAAAUGCAUAGAUAUUACUUAGAACACCAAUUGCGAAGGCAGGUCACUAAGUCUUAACUGACGCUGAUGGACGAAAGCGUGGGGAGCGAACAGG
rnacentral:rRNA from 1 species